rnacentral:rRNA from 1 species
GAUGAACGCUGGCGGCGUGCCUAAUACAUGCAAGUCGAGCGAAUGGAUUAAGAGCUUGCUCUUAUGAAGUUAGCGGCGGACGGGUGAGUAACACGUGGGUAACCUGCCCAUAAGACUGGGAUAACUCCGGGAAACCGGGGCUAAUACCGGAUAACAUUUUGAACCGCAUGGUUCGAAAUUGAAAGGCGGCUUCGGCUGUCACUUAUGGAUGGACCCGCGUCGCAUUAGCUAGUUGGUGAGGUAACGGCUCACCAAGGCAACGAUGCGUAGCCGACCUGAGAGGGUGAUCGGCCACACUGGGACUGAGACACGGCCCAGACUCCUACGGGAGGCAGCAGUAGGGAAUCUUCCGCAAUGGACGAAAGUCUGACAGAGCAACGCCGCGUGAGUGAUGAAGGCUUUCAGGUCGUAAAACUCUGUUGUUAGGGAAGAACAAGUGCUAGUUGAAUAAGCUGACACCUUGACGGUACCUAACCAGAAAGCCACGGCUAACUACGUGCCAGCCGCCGCGGUAA